UUGCUGUGAUGAUGCCCAUUUGGUUUCGCUUACUACUGAUUGGCAGUGAAGAUGUUUUCCUCUUGGCUGUCUGAGCAG
ensembl:snoRNA small nucleolar RNA, C/D box 53